CCAGUGCCUACAGUCUGCUCUUUGUACUUUGCCUCGCGCUCACUUCCCUGGCGUCCCGCGUGCGUCAGAACGAGAAGGAUGUGGAGCAGCUGAAGGAUCUUUUGUCCAAUCAAAUAGAAGAUAAAGAAUUUCUGGUCCGAAGACUGCGAGAGGCAGAAGACCAGCGCAGCCAGGAA